AUCUGAAACCAACAAAAACCAUUAGGAAACAUGAACAAGAUACUACACCGACAAUUUACAUUUUCAGAUUUGAAAACAUGGCGGAAUGUGUGAUUACCAUACAGGAUAUCCUUGAUGAACAGUAAUGGGAUUUCGAGGAGUAAAAUGGGAGUUUUACAGCCAGCUGGAAAAGUGCCCUCGGAAGAAUACAUGGAGCCUUUGGUGGGAAGGGGAUAUAUUUAGCGAUCCCAUUCACCAUGAUGAAUGCAACAUUAGCAUUACCCAUCAGCACCAAGUGACCAGUGCAAGCCAAAACCGAAAGUUGGGACAACAUUAGCAUCGUUCUAACAAAAGACAUAAUUUAAUGCUGGAAUAUUUUAUGUGUUUAUUGACUAACGCUAUAUACGUCCUUCAGGGACCAGACAUUGCAGAGAUACGUCUAUAAUAUAUUCAUGGAUAUAGUUCCUGAACAGUGGAAGGAUAUAGGUCAGAACACAAGGUAUACUUCGUUGGAAACUCGUUAAUGGACGAAGGAUUUACAUCAGCGAGGAUGAACAAGAAACAACGAUGCUCACUCAGUUUUCAGGCGAUGAUUGUCCAAACGCAAUUCUUGUGUUAUUUUAUCAAGAACUGUGUCUGGACAUCAGUGCUUGAGACUAUAUCGGCUUCCUGUGACGUCAUCACAAGCAAAGGUCAUUACAGUUCAUACCGAAGAGGAAUUUCCUGCUAAAUUGAUUGCUUCUUUGGAAUACUUCACCUACCACGGGUCUAUGUGGCGUAUAUUUUUUAUUUUGUUGAUUUACAGGAAGCCCACAUAUACUACAAUAUGGUAUAUUCAACAUUUACACCAGUAGGUCUUCGUAGAUAACAAAUUAAUGCCUGCAAACCUGAAGGAUGCAGCGUUUUCCUGAAAUAGAGUAGAAUUAUAUAAGUUAUAGAGUUAUAUUAUAGUUAUUCGUCACCUCCGUACACCAAAACUGCUAUUUAUUUGUAUAUUUAUUCAUUAGUAACUCUGUUUGAAAAUAUGUUAAGAAAAUAACAAACAUUAUGUUAGGGAAGUAGACAUAUCUAUCUUGCCCCUGAUUUAAUCCAUUCAUACAUGCAUGUCACUGCAAUUCUUGGUGGGUGUUUGAAGAUAACCUCAGAAAUGAUUACAAACACAUUGACACAAGUAACAUCAGAAAUUGUUUUGUAUUUUCCCCCAUGAGAAUAGGGAAUAUUUCAUGCCAAUCUUGAACAACAAAGAAAAAUGACAUGAUAAUACUUUCGAAUAUUGUGUAGACAGAGAAAGGCAAAUAUACACAUUCUGUUUGUCAGUUAAUAUACUUUUUAAUAACAUUUUUAUGUCUGCAUUUUGUGAAAUUACUCGUCAGAAUAUUGCCAUAUGGACAAAUAUUUAUUCAUGUGCAUUGUCUAUAUGCUUAAAUGCACACAAUUUGCGAACGGAGUUCAGUUUAAUAGAAAAUCAAACAUUUCACGAUAAUUUGUUUAUGUAUCUGAGGAGGAGGUAAAGUAAUUUAUUUAUAACAAUAUUUGUAAAAUAAAUAAAACAUUCUUUGUUGAUUCAGUA